GGACGGGUGAGUAACGCGUGGGAAUCUACCUAGUAGUGGGGGACAACUUGUGGAAACGCAAGCUAAUACCGCAUACGUCCUAAGGGAGAAAGGGAGCUUCGGCUCUCGCUAUUAGAUGAGCCCGCGUUAGAUUAGCUAGUUGGUGGGGUAAAGGCCUACCAAGGCGACGAUCUAUAGCUGGUCUUAGAGGAUGAUCAGCCACACUGGGACUGAGACACGGCCCAGACUCC
rnacentral:rRNA from 1 species